GACGAACGCUGGCGGCGUGCCUAAUACAUGCAAGUAGAACGCUGAAGGAGGAGCUUGCUUCUCUGGAUGAGUUGCGAACGGGUGAGUAACGCGUAGGUAACCUGCCUGGUAGCGGGGGAUAACUAUUGGAAACGAUAGCUAAUACCGCAUAAGAGUAGAUGUUGCAUGACAUUUGCUUAAAAGGUGCAAUUACAUCACUACCAGAUGGACCUGCGUUGUAUUAGCUAGUUGGUGGGGUAACGGCUUACCAAGGCGACGAUACAUAGCCGACCUGAGAGGGUGAUCGGCCACACUGGGACUGAGACACGGCCCAGACUCCUACGGGAGGCAGCAGUAGGGAAUCUUCGGCAAUGGACGGAAGUCUGACCGAGCAACGCCGCGUGAGUGAAGAAGGUUUUCGGAUCGUAAAGCUCUGUUGUAAGAGAAGAACGAGUGUGAGAGUGGAAAGUUCACACUGUGACGGUAUCUUACCAGAAAGGGACGGCUAACUACGUG
rnacentral:rRNA from 1 species